rnacentral:rRNA from 1 species
UACGUAGGGUGCAAGCGUUGUCCGGAAUUAUUGGGCGUAAAGAGCUCGUAGGCGGUUUGUUGCGUCGGCUGUGAAAUCCCGAGGCUCAACCUCGGGUCUGCAGUCGAUACGAGCAAACUAGAGUGUUGCAGGGGAGACUGGAAUUCCUGGUGUAGCGGUGAAAUGCGCAGAUAUCAGGAGGAACACCGGUGGCGAAGGCGGAUCUCUGGGCCGGUACUGACGCUGAGACGCGAAAGCGUGGGGAGCGAACAGG